GAUGAACGCUAGCGGCAGGCUUAAUACAUGCAAGUCGAGGGGUAGCAAGAUUGUAGCAAUACAAUUGUUGACGACCGGCAAACGGGUGCGGAACACGUACACAACCUUCCUACAAGUGGGGAAUAGCCCAGAGAAAUUUGGAUUAAUACCCCGUAACAUAGCGAUGUGGCAUCACAUUGCUAUUAUAGCUUCGGCGCUUGUUGAUGGGUGUGCGGCUGAUUAGAUAGUUGGCGGGGUAACGGACCACCAAGUCUACGAUCAGUAGCUGAUGUGAGAGCAUGAUCAGCCACACGGGCACUGAGACACGGGCCCGACUCCUACGGGAGGCAGCAGUAAGGAAUAUUGGACAAUGGACGCAAGUCUGAUCCAGCCAUGCCGCGUGAAGGAUUAAGGUCCUCUGGAUUGUAAACUUCUUUUAUAAGGGACGAAAAAAGGUCUUUCUAGAUCGUCUGACGGUACCUUAUGAAUAAGCAACGGCUAACUCCGUGCCAGCCGCCGCCGUAAGAC
rnacentral:rRNA from 1 species